GUCUGUUUACAAUAGUCCCCUAAUAAAAUUGGAAUGAUAUAGAAAAGAUUAGUAUGGCUCCUGUUGAAGGAUGGUUAACCACAAAGAAUAAGGAUUGAACAGUCAAU